UAACGGAUACAGACAGUUAAACGUUAUGCCCCACUUCUGUCGUAGGUAGGACGUCAACGGAUACAGACAAUGAAACGUUAUGCCCCUCUUCUGUCGUAGGUAGGGCGUUAACGGACAGAGACAGUGAAACGUUAUGCCCCACUUCUGUCGUAGGUAGGACGUUAACGGAUACAGACAGUAAAACGUUAUGCCCCACUUCUGUCGUAGGUAGGACGUUAACGGAUACAGACAGUGAAACGUUAUGCCCCACUUCUGUCGUAGGUAGGACGUUAACAGAUACAGACAGUGAAACGUUAUGCCCCACUUCUGUCGUAGGUAGGACGUUAACGGAUACAGACAGUGAAACGUUAUGCCCCACUUCUGUCGUAGGUAGGACUUUAACGGAUACAGACAGUGAAACGUUAUGCCCCACUUCUGUCGUAGGUAGGACGUUAACGGAUACAGACAGUGAAACGUUAUGCCCCACUUCUGUCGUAGGUAGGACUUUAACGGAUACAGACAGUGAAACGUUAUGCCCCACUUCUGUCGUAGGUAGGACGUUAACGGAUACAGACAGUAAAACGUUAUGCCCCACUUCUGUCGUAGGUAGGACGUUAACGGAUACAGACAGUGAAACGUUAUGCCCCACUUCUGUCGUAGGUAGGACGUUAACAGAUACAGACAGUAAUACGUUAUGCCCCACUUCUGUCGUAGGUAGGACUUUAACGGAUACAGACAGUGAAACGUUAUGCCCCACUUCUGUCGUAGGUAGGACGUUAACGGAUACAGACAGUGAAACGUUAUGCCCCACUUCUGUCGUAGGUAGGACGUUAACGGAUACAGACAGUGAAACGUUAUGCCCCACUUCUGUCGUAGGUAGGACGUUAACGGAUACAGACAGUGAAACGUUAUGCCCCACUUCUGUCGUAGGUAGGACUUUAACGGAUACAGACAGUGAAACGUUAUGCCCCACUUCUGUCGUAGGUAGGACUUUAACAGAUACAGACAGUAAAACGUUAUGCCCCACUUCUGUCGUAGGUAGGGCGUUAACAGAUACAGACAGUGAAACGUUAUGCCCCACUUCUGUCGUAGGUAGGACGUUAACGGAUACAGACAGUGAAACGUUAUGCCCCUCUUCUGUCGUAGGUAGGGCGUUAACGGAUACAGACCAUGAAACGUUAUGCCCCACUUCUGUCGUAGGUAGGACACAAUAGCUUUGUGAAGAUCAGGUAGAACAAUUAUGAUAGAACACAUGUACAAAUUAUUCUACAAACUUCUAAUUAACACUUUUAAAUAAAAUACCUUCCCUAAUCUUUUCCCUUCAAAAAUAUAUUUCGUAUCGGGAUAAUAAGUUAACUAUUAACUAACUGGUCUGAAUACUGUCAAAACAGAAAUAUAAGUGUGCAUAAAUAAAAUUGAGAAUGGAAAUGGGGAAUAUGUCAAAGAGACAACAACCCGACCAAAGAGCAGACAACAGCCGAAGGCCACCAAUGGGUCUUCAAUGCAGCGAGAAAAUCCCGCACCCGGAGGUGGUCCUCAGCUGGCCCCUAAAUAAAAUUGUGUGCUUAUUCAGUGAAAAUGGACGUCACCCUAAACUCCAACCAAUUGAAAGGAGCAAUUGUGGCGUCCAGAAUAUGAACCAGCAAACAGGAAUAUAAAAAAGUAAAAAUGAUAAAACUGUUCGGCUAAAGACGUCAAACGCUAUCCGUCAUUAAGUACCCGACAAAAUACGUUAACAACAAAACUUGAGGACAAAAAACAAAAGACAGGGUAAAUGAAAUAAGACAACAUGGACUGGUGACAUCGCUUCAUUGUUACAGAGACUUCUAUAACCAUGUGUUAUAGUAGUCUUAGAUUGUCACGAGAAAAGCCUCGGAGCAAGUAAACUGCGGGCGUUUCAAGCAAAUUUACAAUCAACAAUAGAUUUUAAUGGACUGAUAAAAAUUGUAGGACUUAAAAUUUAAAAUGAACAUUAGAGUGUAUUGUGACGUCUCGCGAUUAAAUCUGGUAUACUGUUAAUUUGAUGGUAGAUUUAUAUUGAUCUGAACUAAAUUGACGGGCUCUAUAAAUUAUAGAGCCAGAUACGAUCCAUCUAAACUCAGUGAUUCUUUGAAUAAACAUAUUCUUAAAGGUUAUCAAUUUAACACAUUAGUAAAAUCUGUAAACAUUGAUUUUAUCGGUACUAACAUUGAUUUUCAAGUACAUCAAGUAUAUUGUUCAACAGCAAGGUGUCUAUUAUUUGUAUGGUAGUUGUUUGUGUGCGUCGUACCGAUCUGCAGCUGAUUUUUACAGUUUGUUCUAAAGUUGUGCUGUUACACCACCGUCCAGGUUAAGAGGAAGGGUAAGCGCUCAUAAACAUGUUUAAGCCGGCCACAUUCUUUAUGUACCUAUCCCAAGUCAGGAUCCUAUAGCUCAGUGGUCUUCGUUGGUUCAUGUCUGUCAUAUUUGUUUUUCGCAAAUUGUUUUGUUAUGAAUUGGGUCGAUAGUUUUCUCAUUUUGAAUUGGUUUACAGUUUUCCGUGUCGGGUCCUUUUAUAAGCGACUAUACAAGUUUUUUUCUCAUUGGUGAAGGCCGUAGGUGACCGUUAAUUGCUUAUAUCCACUUGUUUGAACUCUGGUGAAUAGUUGUCUUUUUGGCAAUCAUACCACUCCUUAUUUUUAUAUAUAUAUAAUGCGAUGACAUCUCUUACCACUUAAUUUUUUCUAUCACACCCAUUUAUAAUGAUCUGUGCUACAUUUAAGACCAAAUGUGAUGGCAUCCCUUACUACUUGAUGUUUUCUAUCACUAAUAAUAUCUUUCUUACAUUGUGAUUAAACCCUCUACCAAUGAGUAAAUAUUCGUCAAUGUUCUAUCACUAAUAAUAUCUUUCUUGCAUUGUGAUUAAACCCUCUACCAAAGAGUAAAUAUUUGUCAAUGUUCUAUCACUAAUAAUAUCUUUCUUACAUUGUGAUUAAACCCUCCUCUAACAAUGAGUAAAUAUUUGUCAUAUGUUUUUUUUUCAUCAAUCUUAAAAAUUUACCACUGCUUGCCCUGUUAAAGUUUAUUAGUUGAGGGAGAAAUGUUGGAUGAGAAUCUGUUCAAAUAUUGUUAAACAUCCAAGCCUUUUCGACAUAACUCAUUUGGAAAGAAUUUUUGUUUUAUGAAACAGUUUUUACGGUAGAUUAAUUGAUAGGUUGCUGUCUGGCCUACAUCUGACAUCAUAUCACACAUAGACAGAAUUUGGUGAAUAUAAGGCGCCGUUGUCUACUGAUGAUUUUAAACAUGGUUCUCCGUUGAUUUUUCAGAAAGAAGUAAGUCUGGUGCUAGUUUGGCACACUAUUAAUUGACUUCAAGUUUCUGACGAAAUUGUUUUUUUUAUUAAAGUUACCGUGCAUUUGGUUUUAACUGACAAAACAGACAUAAGAAUGAAAAGAAAUAAAUGUAAAUGAAAUUUAAAGUGAACCUAUUUAACAGCAUAUUGUAUACCGACAAUACAUUACAGCGAUAUUUAGAAUUUUUAGAGCGUGAUAAAUGAACAUUGACGACAAAAUGACUACUUAAAUGUACGUUAAAAUUAUGUAACAGCAUUGUGCAAACAAAAUAUCUUCCUUUACAACCUAUAACAUGCACUCCAACAAACAUGUCCCAGACAAA